rnacentral:rRNA from 1 species
UACGUAGGCAGCGAGCGUUGUUCGGAGUUACUAGGCGUAAAGGGUGUGUAGGCGGUUCUUUAAGUUUGGUGUGAAAUCUCCCGGCUCAACCGGGAGGGUGCGCCGAAUACUGAGGGACUUGGAGUGCGGGAGAGGAAAGUGGAAUUCCUGGUGUAGCGGUGAAAUGCGUAGAUAUCAGGAGGAACACCGGUGGUGUAGACGGCUUCUGGACCGUAACUGACGCUGAGACACGAAAGCGUGGGUAGCAAACAGG